GACGAACGCUGGCGGCGUGCUUAACACAUGCAAGUCGAACGGAAAGGCCCUGCUUUUGUGGGGUGCUCGAGUGGCGAACGGGUGAGUAACACGUGAGUAACCUGCCCUUGACUUUGGGAUAACUUCAGGAAACUGGGGCUAAUACCGGAUAGGAGCUCCUGCUGCAUGGUGGGGGUUGGAAAGUUUCGGCGGUUGGGGAUGGACUCGCGGCUUAUCAGCUUGUUGGUGGGGUAGUGGCUUACCAAGGCUUUGACGGGUAGCCGGCCUGAGAGGGUGACCGGCCACAUUGGGACUGAGAUACGGCCCAGACUCCUACGGGAGGCAGCAGUGGGGAAUAUUGCACAAGGGGCGGAAGCCUGAGGCAGCAACGCCGCGUGCGGGAUGACGGCCUUCGGGUUGUAAACCGCUUUCGCCUGGGACGAAGCGUGAGUGACGGUAAUGGGUAAAGAAGCACCGGCUAACUACGU
rnacentral:rRNA from 1 species